UACAGAGGUCUCAAGCGUUGUUCGGAUUCAUUGGGCGUAAAGGGUGCGUAGGUGGCGCCGUAAGUCAGGUGUGAAAUUUCGGAGCUUAACUCCGAAACUGCAUUUGAUACUGCGGUGCUUGAGGACUGGAGAGGAGACUGGAAUUUACGGUGUAGCAGUGAAAUGCGUAGAUAUCGUAAGGAAGACCAGUGGCGAAGGCGAGUCUCUGGACAGUUACCGACGCUGAGGCACGAAGGCCAGGGGAGCAAACGGG
rnacentral:rRNA from 1 species